rnacentral:sRNA from 1 species
UUUAGCCCUGAUUGAAAUGGCAUCCUUUUUAUGCUGAACUCGUUUCUGUAUAAAAAGAUAUAAUGGAAAGCAGAAAAU